GACGAACGCUGGCGGUGUGCUUAACACAUGCAAGUGGUGCGACGAACCAGAGCUUGCUCUGGGGCAAAGCCGCGAACGGGUGAGUAACACGUGGGUAAUCUACCCCGAUGACCGGGGCAACCCGAGGAAACUCGGGCUAAUACCGGAUGUGGUGCGGAGACAUAAGUCUCUUCACUAAAGGUAGCUUCGGCUUCCGCAUUGGGAGGGGCCCGCGGCCCAUUAGCUUGUUGGUGGGGUCAAGGCCUACCAAGGCAACGAUGGGUAGCUGGUCUGAGAGGACGAUCAGCCACACUGGGACUGAGACACGGCCCAGACUCCUACGGGAGGCAGCAGUGGGGAAUCUUGCGCAAUGCGCGAAAGCGUGACGCAGCAACACCGCGUGAGGGAAGAAGGCCUUAGGGUUGUAAACCUCUUUCAGAUGGGACGAAGGUUCUCCGGUGAAUAGCCGAGAGGAUUGACGGUACCGUCAGAAGAAGCUCCGGCUAACUACGUG
rnacentral:rRNA from 1 species